AAGGAACAUCAGAGAUCCUGCAGUUCAACAGAUGCUUCUGAGAAAUGGAGAAGAAGUGAAUUAAGAGUCAGUUUAAACUCAGUGAAAGGAAACUGAACUGGAAUCAGAAGAAGGAGAACUGUUUGAUCUCCCUCUGGCUGGAUCUGUAGCUGUGGAGAUGACUGACACUGGCCUGAUCCCUGCAGACCAGACUGAGCUCUGCAGAGCAGUGGCCCCUGGGACACAGGACCCCAACAGAUGCACAAGUGACUGACCCAGGUGCUGUGGUGUGUGACUCUCCUGGAGAAGGAACAGACCUUCUUGGAACAGAAGACAAGGCAGCUGAAAGAAGUGGCAAGAGGGCCAUGGAUUGAGCCAGUUAGGUCACUGUGGGUGGAGAAAACACUGGCUGGGGGCUUCCUGUCAUAAAUAGGUAUGCAUUUAAUUGUCUAGGGACUCAGGAUCUCUUGGGUCCUCUGAACUCUUGGCUCACAAGUGACAACACUUUGGCCCAUAAAUUUUUCU
rnacentral:lncRNA from 1 species